UUAUAAUAAAUCAAUUAAACUGAUCUCCUAGUAAAAAAGCUAGAAUAAUAACAUAAGACCAGAAGACCCUGUGAAGCUUAAAUUAAACUAUUAAACCACAUAAUAACUAUUUUCGGUUGGGGCGACCUUGGAAAAAAAAAGAACUUCCAAGACCCAGUAUAACUGACAAUUGAACCAAGUUACUCCAGGGAUAACAGCGCAAUCUUCUUCAAGAGCCCAUAUCAAAAAGAAGGUUUACGACCUCGAUGUUGGAUCAGGACAUCCUAAUGGUGCAGCCGCUAUUAAGGGUUCGUUUGUUCAACGAUUAACAGUCCCACGUGAUCUGA
rnacentral:rRNA from 1 species